rnacentral:rRNA from 1 species
GACAGAGGUGCCGAGCGUUAGGCGGAAUCACUGGGCUUAAAGCGUGUGUAGGCGGAUCCGUAAGUACCUUGUGAAAUCCCACGGCUCAACCGUGGAACUGCUUGGUAUACUGCGGGUCUUGGGCCACCUAGGGGCGAGCGGAACAAGUGGUGGAGCGGUGAAAUGCGUAGAUAUCAGGAGGAACACCGGUGGCGAAGGCGGGUCUCUGGGCAGUAACUGACGCUGAGGAGCGAAAGCGUGGGGAGCGAACAGG